rnacentral:rRNA from 1 species
AUUGAACGCUGGCGGCAGGCCUAACACAUGCAAGUCGAGCGAGCGGCGGACGGGUGAGUAAUGUCUGGGAAACUGCCUGAUGGAGGGGGAUAACUACUGGAAACGGUAGCUAAUACCGCAUACUAUCAGAUGUGCCCAGAUGGGAUUAGCUAGUAGGUGGGGUAAUGGCUCACCUAGGCGACGAUCCCUAGCUGGUCUGAGAGGAUGACCAGACACACUGGAACUGAGACACGGUCCAGACUCCUACGGGAGGCAGCAGUGGGGAAUAUUGCACAAUGGGCGCAAGCCUGAUGCAGCCAUGCCGCGUGUAUGAAGAAGGCCUUAGGGUUGUAAAGCACUUUCAGCGGGGAGGCGUUACCCGCAGAAGAAGCACCGGCUAACUCCGUGCCAGCAGCCGCGGUAAUUC